GAUGAAGAACGUAGCGAAAUGCGAUACGUAAUGUGAAUUGCAGAAUUCCGUGAAUCAUCGAAUCUUUGAACGCACAUUGCGCCCCCUGGUAUUCCGGGGGGCAUGCCUGUCCGAGCGUCAUUGCAACCUUCAAGCGCGGCUUGUGUGUUGGGUCUCGUCCCCCGUGGACGGGCCCGAAAGGCAGUGGCGGCGUCCCGACAUGGUGCCCGAGCGUAUGGGAAUCCUCUUCCGCUCGAAUCGGCCCAUGCGGCGCUGGUCGUAACCAAAUUUUUUACCGGUUGACCUCGGAUCAGGUAGGGAUACCCGCUGAACUUAAGCAUAUCAAUAAGCGGAGGA
rnacentral:misc_RNA from 1 species